GAUGAACGCUGGCGGCGUGCCUAAUACAUGCAAGUCGAGCGAACAGAUGAGAAGCUUGCUUCUCUGAUGUUAGCGGCGGACGGGUGAGUAACACGUGGGUAACCUACCUAUAAGACUGGGAUAACUCCGGGAAACCGGGGCUAAUACCGGAUAAUAUUUUGAACCGCAUGGUUCGAUAGUGAAAGACGGUUUCGGCUGUCACUUAUAGAUGGACCCGCGCCGUAUUAGCUAGUUGGUAAGGUAACGGCUUACCAAGGCGACGAUACGUAGCCGAACUGGGAGGGUGAUCGGCCGCACUGGAACUGAGACACGGUCCAGACUCCUACGGGAGGCAGCAGUAGGGAAUCUUCCGUAAUGGGCGAAAGCCUGACGGAGCAACGCCGCGUGAGUGAUGAAGGUCUUCGGAUCGUAAAACUCUGUUGUUAGGGAAGAACAAAUUUGUUAGUAACUGAACAAGUCUUGACGGUACCUAACCAGAAAGCCACGGCUAACUACGUGCCAGCAGCCGCGGUAA
rnacentral:rRNA from 1 species